CCCUACGGGGCGCAGCAGGCGCGAAAACUUUACAAUGCGGGAAACCGUGAUAAGGGAACACCGAGUGCCAGCAUCAUAUGCUGGCUGUCCAGAUGUGUAAACUACAUCUGUUAGCAAGGGCCGGGCAAGACCGGUGCCAGCCGCCGCGGUAACACCGGCGGCCCGAGUGGUGACCGUUAUUAUUGGGUCUAAAGGGUCCGUAGCCGGUUUGGUCAGUCCUCCGGGAAAUCUGAUAGCUUAACUGUUAGGCUUUCGGGGGAUACUGCCAGGCUUGGAACCGGGAGAGGUAAGAGGUACUACAGGGGUAGGAGUGAAAUCUUGUAAUCCCUGUGAGACCACCUGUGGCGAAGGCGUCUUACCAGAACGGGUUCGACGGUGAGGGACGAAAGCUGGGGGCACGAACCGGAUUAGAUACCCGGGUAGUCCCAGCCGUAAACUAUGCUCGCUAGGUGUCAGGCAUGGCGCGACCGUGUCUGGUGCCGCAGGGAAGCCGUGAAGCGAGCCACCUGGGAAGUACGGCCGCAAGGCUGAAACUUAAAAGAAUUGGCGGGGGAGCACAACAACGGGUGGAGCCUGCGGUUUAAUUGGACUCAACGCCGGACAACUCACCGGGAACGACA
rnacentral:rRNA from 1 species